UAGUCCACGCCGUAAACGAUGGAUACUAGCUGUCCGGAAUCUUGAAUUCUGGGCGGCCAAGCGAAAGUGAUAAGUAUCCCACCUGGGGAGUACGUUCGCAAGAAUGAAACUCAAAGGAAUUGACGGGGGCCCGCACAAGCGGUGGAGCAUGUGGUUUAAUUCGAUGAUACGCGAGGAACCUUACCAGGGCUUAAAUGCAUAUUGACAGGUCUAGAGAUAGACUUUCCUUCGGGCAAUUUGCAAGGUGCUGCAUGGUUGUCGUCAGCUCGUGCCGUGAGGUGUCAGGUUAAGUCCUAUAACGAGCGCAACCCCUGUCGUUAGUUGCCAGCGAGUCAUGUCGGGGACUCUAACGAGACUGCCGGUGCAAACCGUGAGGAAGGUGGGGAUGACGUCAAAUCAUCACGGCCCUUACGUCCUGGGCCACACACGUGCUACAAUGGUAGGGACAGAGAGCAGCCACUAGGUGACUAGGAGCGAAUCUACAAACCCUAUCUCAGUUCGGAUC
rnacentral:rRNA from 1 species